rnacentral:rRNA from 1 species
CCUGGUUGAUCCUGCCAGUAGUCAUAUGCUUGUCUCAAAGAUUAAGCCAUGCAUGUGUAAGUACAGGCCGACUUAAGGCGAAACCGCGGACGGCUCAUUAAAUCAGAUAUAACUCAUUGGAUCUCUGCUGAACCGCAUUACUUGGAUAACUGUGGUAAUUCUAGAGCUAAUACAUGCCUUUGUAGUCUCCGACCGCGAGGGAGGAGCGCUUUUAUUAGACCAAAACCCUCGGCAGCCGGUUCCCGCAAGGGGCCGGCCGCACACAUCUUGGUGAAUCAGAAUAACUUUUGCCGAGCGCACGACCCCUCCCGUAACCCGGGUUGGGUCGGCGCCGCGUCCUGCAGGCGUCUGCCUUAUCAGCUCUCGAUUGUAGGUUAAACGCCUACAAUGGCUAUCACGGGUAACGGGGAAUCAGGGUUCGAUUCCGGAGAGGGAGCCUGAGAAACGGCUACCACAUCUAAGGAAGGCAGCAGGCGCGCAAAUUACCCACUCCCGGCACGGGGAGGUAGUGACGAAAAAUACUGUUGCGAGCCCCGAACGGGGCCUCGCAAUUGGAAUGAGUACACUUUAAAUCCUUGUACGAGGAUCGAGUGGAGGGCAAGUCUGGUGCCAGCCGCCGCGGUAAUUCCAGCUCCACUAGCGUAUAUUAAAGUUGUUGCGGUUGAAACGCUCGUAGUUUGACUUCUGCUCCGGACCGGCGGUCCGCCUUAGCGGCGGCUACUGCCGGGUUCCGAGCUGUGUCCCCGCCGGCGCACAUGGGGUUUUUAUGCCCUUAACCGGGUGUCCCCUUGUGGCCGGCACGUUUACUUUGAAAAAAUUAGAGUGCUCAGAGCAGGCUGGUUUUUGCUUACAGCCCGAAUGGUCGUGCAUGGAAUGAUGGAACAGGACCUCGGUUCUAUUUUGUCGGUUUUUCGGAACCCGAGGUAAUGAUUAAUAGAAGCAGACGGGGGCAUUCGUACUGCGACGCUAGAGGUGAAAUUCUUAGACCGUCGCAUGACGACCUACUGCGAAAGCAUCUGCCAAGGAUGUUUUCAUUGAUCAAGAACGAAAGUUAGAGGUUCGAAGGCGAUCAGAUACCGCCCUAGUUCUAACCUUAAACGAUGCUGACUAGCGAUCCGCCGCAGUUAUUCCCAUGACCCGGCGGGUAGCUUCCGGGAAACCAAAGUCUUUGAGUUCCGGGGGAAGUAUGGUUGCAAAGCUGAAACUUAAAGGAAUUGACGGAAGGGCACCACCAGGAGUGGAGCCUGCGGCUCAAUUUGACUCAACACGGGGAAACUCACCAGGCCAGGACACCGGAAGGAUUGACAGAAUGAAGGCUCUUUCUCGAUUCGGUGGGUGGUGGUGCAUGGCCGUUCUUAGUUGGUGGAGUGAUCUGUCUGGUUAAUUCCGAUAACGAACGAGACU